rnacentral:misc_RNA from 1 species
UUAAUCCUUUUGGGGCUCUUCAUCACCUUUACAUCUGGAAUUUUUUGACCCAAGCUGUCAUGUAAUCUCUUGGCAGCAAUUGAAUUACUUGAUGCAAUGACAUUUGAUCCUCUUCCAACAAGUGACUUUCCAGUAGCAUUUUUACACUUGAGUUGAUGAUAAUGCUCCACCCAUUUGGAUUUCAACAGAUUGGACAAUGUCAGCCUUUUCAAUGUAUUACAUUCUUCAGGCUUUGCUCCUGACAAGGAGAGAUCAAAGACCCCUUCCACAAGCAGUUGUUGAAAGCAAGAUAUAUUCUCCUUAAAUUGAGAGCUAUCAAACAUGCUUCUGAUGCUGUCUGGAAGUUUGGCAGUAUCAAAAGGAGGUAGAUAUUUUAGCAACUGCUGCUGUUCUUCAUUAGUCAAGUAUCUUGUAAACUCCUCAAAAUUAAUAAUGUCAUUUAAAUCCACAUUACAUAACGGUGAAUUGUGAUUUCCCAAGACUUGUGCCCUUUCAUGCUUCGACUUAUCCCUUUUGAAUUGCUCUUGUUGCAUCCCUGGUCCAGCAGGGUUCUUAGAUUUUUCAAUCACAAGACUUUGCAUAUUGACACUUUUGUUUUCAUUAUGUACAGGAAGGGUCACAGAAUGAGAAUAAGCCUCAUUUGCUGAGUAUUGUUUGUUCUCCACAGAAAGGGAGCUAGCUUCAGAUUCUUCAUCUCGAGCUAUUGAGCUUGGAUGUCUAAUGAGAACACUUCCAUGCCCUAUCUCAACAGAAACCAUUGGUGUUUCACUCUCAAAAAGCAGGUCCUCGUCAGAAGAUCCAGAGAAGCAUGACGACUGUUGUUCAUGCCAAAUAGUAUAUAAAUCUCUAGUUAGCUUCUCAACGGGAGAUGGCUUUGAACGAUUGACACAGGUCCUCUUCCUAGAAGGUACCAUUGUGUCCCACACAACUGAUUGGGCAGGACCUGUCAAAUCACUUGCAUCUGCACUGCCAAAUUGUGCACAGCUCUCAGAGUUGGAUAUGGCUGAUCCAGAACUUGAUCUAUUACUAGCAUCUUCAUCUAAAACCUUCCGAUAACCCUGAAUGUAAUCAGAGGCAACCCCACCCACUACCCCAUUAUCAUGAUUUGCCUUUCUUUUGAGUAGUUUCACAUCUUUGUUCUUGUUUAUAGAUAUGCUCUUCACUCUGGAUACCCUGUGAUCCUCAUAAUCAUCGGGGUCUGUCCGGGCAUGAAGUGGUGUAUAGUUUGCAAGAGUUCCCUUUGUUCUCCAUCUAGAUCCACAAGCAUUGCAUAGGACUGGCUUCUCAGGAGGCCCAUUGCGCCAAAGAGGUGUGCUUGUAACUCCACAGUGACAGCAAGGCCCUUGCUUGCCCAUGUCUCUCUCUUUUCCUUAAGUGAAGAAAUUGAAAUUCCAAACAAAUUUACAGAGAGAAGAAAAAUCAAAAACUAAUACUAUUGAUAAAAAAGUUUGCAAUUUUUUUUUUCCAAAAAUCAAAAUUCUAUAAAAUUUUGUUUGUAUUUUCAAGGCUUAUAUAACACAUAUGCUUCUGGGUAUAUAAGGCUCUUCUGCAACAAACCCAGAGACAGUUUGCAAAAUAGAACAAAAGCCAACAAA